rnacentral:rRNA from 1 species
UGAUGCCCGGCUUCCAGGAAAAGCUGCUAGCCAUAACUUAUAGAGAACCGUACCGCAAACCGACACAGGUGGACAGGUAGAGAAUACUAAGGCGCUUGAGAGAACUCGGGUGAAGGAACUAGGCAAAAUGGUACCGUAACUUCGGGAGAAGGUACGCCCUUUUGGGUGAGGGCAUUUACUGUCUGAGCUUAAGAGGGCCGCAGAGACCAGGUGGCUGCGACUGUUUAUUAAAAACACAGCACUCUGCAAAUUCGUAAGAAGACGUAUAGGGUGUGACGCCUGCCCGGUGCCGGAAGGUUAAUUGAUGGGGUUAUCUUCGGAGAAGCUCUUGAUCGAAGCCCCGGUAAACGGCGGCCGUAACUAUAACGGUCCUAAGGUAGCGAAAUUCCUUGUCGGGUAAGUUCCGACCUGCACGAAUGGCGUAACGAUGGCCACACUGUCUCCACCCGAGACUCAGUGAAAUUGAAAUCGCUGUGAAGAUGCAGUGUACCCGCGGCUAGACGGAAAGACCCCGUGAACCUUUACUAUAGUUUUGCACUGGACUUUGAUGAUGACUGUGUAGGAUAGGUGGGAGGCUGUGAAGUGAGGACGCUAGUUCUCAUGGAGCCGCCCUUGAAAUACCACCCUGUUGUUAUUGAGGUUCUAACUUGGUCCAGUAAUCCUGGAUGAGGACAGUGUAUGAUGGGUAGUUUGACUGGGGCGGUCUCCUCCCAAAGAGUAACGGAGGAGCACAAAGGUACCCUCGGUACGGUCGGACAUCGUACCAAGAGUGUAAAGGCAAAAGGGUGCUUGACUGCGAGAGUGACGGCUCGAGCAGGAACGAAAGUUGGUCUUAGUGAUCCGGUGGUUCUGAAUGGAAGGGCCAUCGCUCAACGGAUAAAAGGUACUCCGGGGAUAACAGGCUGAUACCGCCCAAGAGUUCAUAUCGACGGCGGUGUUUGGCACCUCGAUGUCGGCUCAUCACAUCCUGGGGCUGAAGCAGGUCCCAAGGGUAUGGCUGUUCGCCAUUUAAAGUGGUACGCGAGCUGGGUUUAGAACGUCGUGAGACAGUUCGGUCCCUAUCUGCCGUGGGCGUAGGAAAAUUGAGAGGAGCUGCUCCUAGUACGAGAGGACCGGAGUGGACGAACCUCUGGUGCACCGGUUGUCACGCCAGUGGCAUGGCCGGGUAGCUAAGUUCGGACGGGAUAACCGCUGAAAGCAUCUAAGCGGGAAGCCUCCCUCAAGAUGAGUUUUCCCAUGAAGCCCGUUGAAGACUACGACGUUGAUAGGCAAGGUGUGGAAGCGCAGUAAUGCGUGAAGCUAACUUGUACUAAUUGGCUGAUUGUCUUGACCA